rnacentral:rRNA from 1 species
AACGACUCUCGGCAACGGAUAUCUCGGCUCUCGCAUCGAUGAAGAACGUAGCGAAAUGCGAUACCUGGUGUGAAUUGCAGAAUCCCGCGAACCAUCGAGUCUUUGAACGCAAGUUGCGCCCGAGGCCAUUCGGUCGAGGGCACGNCUGCCUGGGCGUCACGCCAU